UACGAAGGGGGCUAGCGUUGCUCGGAAUCACUGGGCGUAAAGGGUGCGUAGGCGGAUUUCUAAGUCAGGGGUGAAAGCCUGAGGCUCAACCUCAGAACUGCCUUUGAUACUGGAAGUCUUGAGACCGGAAGAGGUAAGUGGAACUGCGAGUGUAGAGGUGAAAUUCGUAGAUAUUCGCAAGAACACCAGUGGCGAAGGCGGCUCACUGGCCCGAUACUGACACUGAGAAGCGAAAGCGUGGGGAGCGAACAGG
rnacentral:rRNA from 1 species